rnacentral:rRNA from 1 species
UGCCUUUUAAUUGGAGGCUGGUAUGAAUGGUUUGACGAGGGCUGAGCUGUCUCUCCUGGAAUAUUUAAAAAUUAACUUCUAAGUGAAAAGGCUUAGAUUUAGCUGAGGGACGAGAAGACCCUGUUGAGCUUUAGUGUGGAAUAAAGGGGUUGUUUCUAUUAGAAUAGAGGAUUUUAAAUUUAUUCUUACAUCUUUAGUUGGGGUGACUAGGGAACAUAAAAAGCUUCUCUGUUAAUUUGUAGAAUUUUGGUUUACUAACAAGUGAUCCAGCAUUGCUGAUUAUCGGAAAAAGUUACCACAGGGAUAACAGCGUAAUCUUUCUGGAGAGUUCACAUUGAAAGAAGGGUUUGCGACCUCGAUGUUGGAUUAAGGUGUCCUGAGGGUGUAGCAGCUUUCGUUGGUUGGUCUGUUCGACCAUUAA